rnacentral:rRNA from 1 species
UACGGAGGGUGCGAGCGUUAAUCGGAAUUACUGGGCGUAAAGCGUGCGUAGGUGGCUUGGUCAGUCGGAUGUGAAAGCCCUGGGCUCAACCUGGGAACUGCAUUCGAUACUGCCUGGCUAGAGUAUGGUAGAGGGAAGUGGAAUUUCCGGUGUAGCGGUGAAAUGCGUAGAUAUCGGAAGGAACACCAGUGGCGAAGGCGGCUUCCUGGACCAAUACUGACACUGAGGUACGAAAGCGUGGGGAGCAAACAGG